rnacentral:rRNA from 1 species
UAAUACGAAGGGGGCUAGCGUUGCUCGGAAUCACUGGGCGUAAAGGGCGCGUAGGCGGCCGUAUAAGUCGAGGGUGAAAGCCUGUGGCUCAACCACAGAAUUGCCUCCGAUACUGUAUGGCUAGAGACCGGAAGAGGUAAGUGGAACUGCGAGUGUAGAGGUGAAAUUCGUAGAUAUUCGCAAGAACACCAGUGGCGAAGGCGGCUUACUGGUCCGGUUCUGACGCUGAGGCGCGAAAGCGUGGGGAGCAAACAGGAUUAGAUACCCUGGUAGUCCACGCCGUAAACUAUGAAUGCUAGCCGUUGGCAAGCUUGCUUGUCAGUGGCGCAGUUAACACAUUAAGCAUUCCGCCUGGGGAGUACGAUCGCAAGAUUA